rnacentral:rRNA from 1 species
AUUGAACGCUGGCGGCAGGCCUAAUACAUGCAAGUCGAGCGAGCGGCGGACGGGUGAGUAAUGCCUAGGAAUCUGCCCGUUAGUGGGGGACAACGUACGGAAACGGGCGCUAAUACCGCAUACCAUCGGAUGUGCUUAGAGGGGAUUAGCUAGUAGGUGGGGUAAAGGCUCACCUAGGCGACGAUCCCUAGCUGAGCUGAGAGGAUGACCAGCCACACUGGAACUGAGACACGGUCCAGACUCCUACGUGAGGCAGCAGUGGGGAAUAUUGGACAAUGGGCGCAAGCCUGAUGCAGCAAUGCCGCGUGUAUGAAGAAGGCUUUCGGGUUGUAAAGUACUUUCAGCGGGGAGGCGUUACCCGCAGAGAAAGCACCGGCUAACUCCGUGCCAGCAGCCGCGGUAAUAC